AUUUUAAUGAAUUAAUUAUAUUAGAAUGAUUAAAUUAGUAAUUUAAUUUGUUUAAAUUAUUUUAUUAUAUAUAUAAUAAAUAUAUUUAAGUAAUUAGGCAAAAUAAUUAUAUUCACCUGUUUAACAAAAACAUGUCUUUUUGAAUUUAAUAUAAAGUCAGUUCUGCUCAAUGAUUAAUUAAAUAGCUGCAGUAUUUUAACUGUACAAAGGUAGCAUAAUCAUUUGUCUUUUAAUUGAAGGCUAGAAUGAAUGAAUUAAUGAAAUAUAAACUGUCUCAAUUAUAUAAAAUAAAAUUAAAUUUUAAGUUAAAAUGCUUAAUUUAAUUUAAGGGACGAUAAGACCCUAUAGAAUUUUAUAUAUUAUAAAUUUAAUAAAUUAUAAUAGUAUAUUUGAUUGGGAGGAUUUUUAGAUUUAAUUAACUUUAAAGUUUUAAAAAUAUUGAUUUAUAGAUAAAUUUAAUUGAAAUAUAUUAUUAUAUAAUAUAAUAAAAGUAUAAAUUACCUUAGGGAUAACAGCGUAAUAUUUUUGGAAAGAUCAAAUUGAAAAAAUUGUUUGCGACCUCGAUGUUGAAUUAAAAUUAAUUAUAAAUGUAGGUGUUUAUAAAUUUAGUCUGUUCGACUAUUAAAAUUUUACAUGAUUUGAGUUCAGAUCGACGUGAGUCAGAUUGGUUUCUAUCUUUAAAAAAAUUUAAAAUUUUUGUACGAAAGGACU
rnacentral:rRNA from 1 species